rnacentral:antisense_RNA from 1 species
CUUCAACGAGCCCAGCCAGAGCGGCCGUUCACGUUCCCGUUCCUGUCCGUACGUCGCCAGCACGGCCUGCGUCUC